rnacentral:ncRNA from 2 species
AUUAACAAACUGGGGUGCCUAAUGGCUGAGAAUUACCCAUUGACCUGAUCUGGACAAUACCAGCGGAGGGAGUUUUGUAUCGAUUGAU